rnacentral:ncRNA from 1 species
AUCAGGGGCCCUGGCAAGGGCCUUCGGAUCGCGCUCUAACCUUACCGACCUGAGCCGAUUCGUGUCUGUACCGCCCACAAGGUGUGUUUGACGAGGUUGCGACUGGAACGAAGUUGUCCCGAGGGACGGAAGCGUAAUAGGUAGCCCGGCAACACACUGAUGAUCGUACAAAGGCCCACGACGCCCGAAUGCGCCCGCCAGUUCGCCCUUACCUGCUC